rnacentral:rRNA from 1 species
CCUACGGGAGGCAGCAGUGAGGAAUAUUGGACAAUGGGCGCAAGCCUGAUCCAGCCAUGCCGCGUGCAGGAAGACGGUCCUAUGGAUUGUAAACUGCUUUUGUACGGGAAGAAACACUCCUUCGUGAAGGAGCUUGACGGUACCGUAAGAAUAAGGAUCGGCUAACUCCGUGCCAGCAGCCGCGGUAAUACGGAGGAUCCAAGCGUUAUCCGGAAUCAUUGGGUUUAAAGGGUCCGUAGGCGGUUUAGUAAGUCAGUGGUGAAAGCCCAUCGCUCAACGGUGGAACGGCCAUUGAUACUGCUAGACCUGAAUUAUUAGGAAGUAACUAGAAUAUGUAGUGUAGCGGUGAAAUGCUUAGAGAUUACAUGGAAUACCAAUUGCGAAGGCAGGUUACUACUAAUGGAUUGACGCUGAUGGACGAAAGCGUGGGUAGCGAACAGGAUUAGAUACCCUGGUAGUCCACGCCGUAAACGAUGGAUACUAGCUGUUGGGCGCAAGUUCAGUGGCUAAGCGAAAGUGAUAAGUAUCCCACCUGGGGAGUACGUUCGCAAGAAUGAAACUCAAAUGAAAUUGACGGCUGAGAGAGCGAGACGACGACGAGGGAGGAGG